rnacentral:rRNA from 1 species
UGGGGAAUUUUGGACAAUGGGCGAAAGCCUGAUCCAGCAAUGCCGCGUGUGUGAAGAAGGCCUUCGGGUCGUAAAGCACUUUUGUCCGGAAAGAAAUCCUUGGCUCUAAUACAGUCGGGGGAUGACGGUACCGGAAGAAUAAGCACCGGCUAACUACGUGCCAGCAGCCGCGGUAAUACGUAGGGUGCAAGCGUUAAUCGGAAUUACUGGGCGUAAAGCGUGCGCAGGCGGUUUGCUAAGACCGAUGUGAAAUCCCCGGGCUCAACCUGGGAACUGCAUUGGUGACUGGCAGGCUAGAGUAUGGCAGAGGGGGGUAGAAUUCCACGUGUAGCAGUGAAAUGCGUAGAGAUGUGGAGGAAUACCGAUGGCGAAGGCAGCCCCCUGGGCCAAUACUGACGCUCAUGCACGAAAGCGUGGGGAGCAAACAGGAUUAGAUACCCUGGUAGUCCACGCCCUAAACGAUGUCAACUAGUUGUGGGGAUUCAUUUCCUUAGUAACGUAGCUAACGCGUGAAGUUGACCGCCUGGGGAGUACGGUCGCAAGAUUAAAACUCAAAUGAAUUGACGGGGUCAUAGCUGUUUCC